AAAAACUUGGCAAGCCUUGGUCGAGGACUGGGAAGAUCAUGGAGGGCCCUGUCUUCCAGGACUUUGAAUUUUAUAUGACCCCAAGCAGCUCGUGGUACUAGUUCCCUGUAUGCCAUCUACUCCUGAGGCCCACCAAGAGCACAGGUGUGAUUUUGGACAACUGUCUGAUGACCCUCACUAGACUCUAAUCUCUGAAUGACCAGGAAUCGUGCUUACAUUUUGCUUAUCACUGUCUCUGGAGGCUGGUAGAGAAUCUGAC